AGGACGAACGCUGGCGGCGUGCUUAACACAUGCAAGUCGAGCGGAAAGGCCCUUCGGGGUACUCGAGCGGCGAACGGGUGAGUAACACGUGAGCAACCUGCCCCUGGCUCUGGGAUAGCCUCCGGAAACGGGGAUUAAUACCGGACAUUCACUUCCUUCCGCAUGGUUGGUGGUGGAAAGUUUUUCGGCCGGGAGGGGCUCGCGGUCUAUCAGCUUGUUGGCGGGUAACGGCCCACCAAGGCGACGACGGAUAGCC
rnacentral:rRNA from 1 species